rnacentral:rRNA from 1 species
AUGGCCCAUGCUGUUGUUCCGUUGAAUUUUAAUGCGUUCCUUGAGAAAGCAAAGUUGAAAGAUGAUGGUAGCAAUUACACGGACUGGGUCCGUAACUUGAGGAUUAUACUCAUUGCUGCACAGAAGAAUUACGUCCUGGAAGCACCGCUGGGUGCCAGGCCUGCUGCUGGAGCAACACCAGAUGUUAUGAACGUCUGGCAGAGCAAAGCUGAUGACUACUCGAUAGUUCAGUGUGCCAUGCUUUACGGCUUAGAAUCGGGACUUCAACGAUGUUUUGAACGUCAUGGAGCAUAUGAGAUGUUCCAGGAGUUGAAGUUAAUAUUUCAAGCAAAUGCCCGGAUUGAGAGAUAUGAAGUCUCCAAUAAGUUCUAUAGCUGCAAGAUGGAGGAGAACAGUUCUGUCAGUGAGCAUAUACUCAAAAUGUCUGGGUAUAAUAAUCACUUGAUUCAGAUGGGAGUUAAUCUUCCAGAUGAUUGCGUCAUUGACAGAAUUCUCCAAUCACUGCCACCAAGCUACAAGAGCUUCGUGAUGAACUAUAAUAUGCAAGGGAUGAAUAAGACAAUUCCCGAGCUCUUCGCAAUGCUGAAAGCUGCGGAGGUAGAAAUCAAGAAGGAGCAUCAAGUGUUGAUGGUCAACAAGACCACUAGUUUCAAGAAAAAGGGCAAAGGGAAGAAGAAGGGGAACUUCAAACGGCAAGCAAGUUGCUGCUCAGGAUAA